rnacentral:rRNA from 1 species
GACGAACCGAGCGAACGUUGUUCGGAAUAACUGGGCUUAAAGGGCGCGUAGGCGGGCUGUCAAGUCUGGGGUGAAAUCCCGCGGCUCAACCGCGGAACUGCCUCAGAUACUGACGGCCUCGAGGGAGAUAGGGGCGAGCGGAACGAAUGGUGGAGCGGUGAAAUGCGUUGAUAUCAUUCGGAACUCCGGUAGCGAAGGCGGCUCGCUGGAUCUCUUCUGACGCUGAGGCGCGAAAGCUAGGGGAGCAAACGGG